rnacentral:rRNA from 1 species
UACGUAGGGUGCGAGCGUUGUCCGGAAUUAUUGGGCGUAAAGAGCUUGUAGGCGGUCUGUCGCGUCUGCUGUGAAAAUCCGGGGCUCAACCCCAAGCUUGCAGUCGAUACGGGCAGGCUAGAGUUCGGUAGGGGAGACUGGAAUUCCUGGUGUAGCGGUGAAAUGCGCAGAUAUCAGGAGGAACACCGAUGGCGAAGGCAGGUCUCUGGGCCGAUACUGACGCUGAGGAGCGAAAGCGUGGGGAGCGAACAGG